UGGAUCCAGACUUGAUCAUGGCUCAGGAUAAACGCUGGCGGCGCACAUAAGACAUGCAAGUCGAACGGACUUAACUCAUUCUUUUAGUUUGAGAGAGGUUAGUGGCGGACUGGUGAGUAACACGUAAGCAACCUGCCUAUCAGAGGGGAAUAACAGUGAGAAAUCAUUGCUAAUACCGCAUAUGCUAACAGUAUCGCAUGAUACAGUUAGGAAAGGAGCAAUCCGCUGAUAGAUGGGCUUGCGUCUGAUUAGUUAGUUGGUGGGGUAACGGCCUACCAAGACUACGAUCAGUAGCCGGACUGAGAGGUUGAACGGCCACAUUGGGACUGAGAUACGGCCCAGACUCCUACGGGAGGCAGCAGUCGGGAAUAUUGCGCAAUGGAGGAAACUCUGACGCAGUGACGCCGCGUAUAGGAAGAAGGUUUUCGGAUUGUAAACUAUUGUCGUUAGGGAAGAUAAAAGACUGUACCUAAGGAGGAAGCCCCGGCUAACUAUGUGCCAGCAGCCGCGGUAAUACAUAGGGGGCAAGUGUUAUCCGGAAUUAUUGGGUGUAAAGGGUGCGUAGACGGAGAAACAAGUUGGUUGUGAAAUCCCUCGGCUCAACUGAGGAACUGCAACCAAAACUAUUUCCCUUGAGUGUCGGAGAGGAAAGUGGAAUUCCUAGUGUAGCGGUGAAAUGCGUAGAUAUUAGGAGGAACACCAGUGGCGAAGGCGACUUUCUGGACGAUAACUGACGUUGAGGCACGAAAGUGUGGGGAGCAAACAGGAUUAGAUACCCUGGUAGUCCACACUGUAAACGAUGGAUACUAGGUGUAGGGUGUAUUAAGCACUCUGUGCCGCCGCUAACGCAAUGAGUAUCCCACCUGGGGAGUACGACCGCAAGGU
rnacentral:rRNA from 1 species